ACUCCUACGGGAGGCAGCAGUGGGGAAUAUUGGACAAUGGGCGAAAGCCUGAUCCAGCAAUGCCGCGUGAGUGAUGAAGGCCUUAGGGGUUGUAAAGCUCUUUUACCAGGGAUGAUAAUGACAGUACCUGGAGAAUAAGCUCCGGCUAACUCCGUGCCAGCAGCCGCGGUAAUACGGAGGGAGCUAGCGUUGUUCGGAAUUACUGGGCGUAAAGCGCGCGUAGGCGGUUACUCAAGUCAGAGGUGAAAGCCCGGGGCUCAACCCCGGAACUGCCUUUGAAACUAGGUGACUAGAAUCUUGGAGAGGUCAGUGGAAUUCCGAGUGUAGAGGUGAAAUUCGUAGAUAUUCGGAAGAACACCAGUGGCGAAGGCGACUGACUGGACAAGUAUUGACGCUGAGGUGCGAAAGCGUGGGAGCAAACAGGAUUAGAUACCCUGGUAGCGACUGA
rnacentral:rRNA from 1 species